CAGAGGGUGCAAGCGUUAAUCGGAAUUACUGGGCGUAAAGCGUGCGUAGUCGGUUAUUUAAGUCGGGUGUGAAAUCCCCGGGCUCAACCUGGGAAUUGCAUUCGAUACCGGAUAGCUAGAGUUCGGCAGAGGGAAGCGGAAUUUCUGGUGUAGCGGUGAAAUGCGUAGAUAUCAGAAGGAACAUCAGUGGCGAAAGCGGCUUCCUGGACCAGAACUGACGAUCAGGCACGAAAGCGUGGGGAGCAAACAGGAUUAGAUACCCUGGUAGUCCACGCCAUAAACGAUGACAACUAGACGUUGGGAGGGUAAGCCUCACAGUGUCGCAGCUAACGCGUUAAGUUGUCCGCCUGGGGAGUACGGCCGCAAGGUUG
rnacentral:rRNA from 1 species